UUUGCCUCUGAUUUGGAGGGGAUUUGCUUUAGGGUUUCGAAUUGGGAAUUUUCAGGAGUUAGGGUUCGAUUGGAUUGGGGAAAAAUUUGCUUUCUUUGACUUCACCAAUUCAUCACGAUCUAACUGCUAAUCAGUGACUAAUACCGGUGCAAAUUUACAAAUUUUGAUGCGGAAACGUGCUAGCACCAAUCCAAUAGAAAAUUAGAUCUAAAUCAAAACCAAUUAACCCUAGGCAUUAAACGUUGACCUUAAAAGGGGAAACUGACUAUAAACACCACCAUUAACCUUUAGCAGCGAUCGUCUGGACUUAAUUGACCACUUUGACAUAACCAGAGGAUCAACAGGGAUCUAAUCAAGGCAUUAAGCGGCUCAAGAUACCAUUGUUAAUAUAUAAUAUAGUAGGAUUUACUUAAAAGAAACGUUUAGCCUAGACUUUAGAUCGCCUAAAACGUGAUGAACAAAGGAUGGUUUGUAUCUUACCACCAAUGGAGGAAGCCAUUGGUGUAGGGGAUGCAAAGUCCCGUGCCUGGUUGAUGCAAGCUUGGUGUAGGUACUCGCUGCGGAUAGCGGCGUCCCUCUGGGCGUCAGCGGUACUGCCCUGGCAACGCAGCAGAGGGAGGAGAAGGGGUUUUAGCAUUUAGGAAGGCAGAGUAGACGCACAUGAACUGAGUCAGAUCGUGCGUGGCUGGCUGGCCCUCUCUUUAUAUGUGGCCCUAGCGAUGAAGGGACCUCAACCACGUUGGUUUGUGUCGCCCGCGAUCAGGGCGCUUUAGUUGGGGUCGAGGCGUAAGAACGUUCGUUCGUGACCUGCCUGUUUCCCUCUUUAACGUAACUUGUUUUUGGUCUUUUUUUGGCCCAGUGGGCCUUUAGAUAAAAUACCAACAAUCCCAUCUAAUCUGCUAGCACUUGAGCGCACAUCAGUCGCACACAACCCCCGUGUUCUUAGAGGGUGUUUGUUUUCAGGGACUUAUUAGUUUAGGGACUUAAAAAAGUCCCUAUAAGUCCCAUCUAAACCAAACAGGAGGGACUUAUAGGGGCUUAAAGUGGGCAUUUGGGACUUAUGAAAUAAGACUCUCAAGGAGAGUCUUAUAGGGACUUAUAGUUGUAAUAUGAUCUUUUAGUCCAUGUUAAGUCCCAUGAACCAAACAGGUAGGACCUUUUUAGGGACUUGAGACUUAUAAGUUGGGACUAAAAAAAAUCUUAGGACUUAUGAACCAAACAGGGCCUUAUUGCUUCACGUGGUUAGCAGACAUAGCCGCCACCUCCUCUCUCAAGCUUAGGGUUUUUUCUGCCUCCCAUCGGCGCCGUCGCCAAUCCGCCUUGUCUCUGGUGGUCUUAGAUCCAUGGUGACGCGGGGGAUCCUGCACCUUGUCGAUGGAGGUCCCCUUUAUAGACAUUCCUUUAAGUUUUGUUAGGGUUUGUGGCCUACUCAAGAAGGCGAAACGGUUGCGGCUUCUUGAAGAUAGAAUAAGGUUCUCCCCGCCUAGCCUCCAUUCCGGUGAUGUUUCUAGCAUCAUUGGCGGGCGUGUGGAGGUGUCUCUCCGGUGGAUCUGUUUUGGAUGGAUCUGCUCGGAUCUGUUAGUCGUUCGUCUUUGUUCAUGUGUCUUCAAGUUGGAUCCUUCCGUUAUAUGCUACUUUUCAUCGGCGUCAGUUACUGUUCUGAUGCGCGGGCAUUAGCACAACGACUUCCUGACUGUAUAAUACAACAAGGUAUGUCUGGCUCCGGAGAGGGAGGGGCGAUGACGGCGGCGCCUUUGGCUCACUAUAAUGCUUGUAGUUGUUGCUAGGUGGUCCAUAGAUCGGGUUGUAAUUUUUAUUACCUCUUGUGUUCUCUGUACUGCCAUGAUUGUCGCAUAGAUCUGGAUGUAAUUAUUUAUUAUUUCUUUUGUUUGUUGUACUUCCAUGAUUGAAAAUGAAUAACGGAUGUUUUCCCGCAAAAAAGAAACUCUUACAGUCUCUUCCUGUUGAGUAUCGUGAUUAGUUAGGAAAUAUGAGAUAGACUAUGAUAUGCUUUGUCUUGUCUUGUACUCCAAGUUGAUCAUGUACUCCUAUGUAUAUACCCAUGAGGCUCAAGCCAUAAUCAUCUAUUCCACCAACCCCUCUCUAUCCCUUCUAACACUCCAUACCCCUUCUUCACCUCCUUACACAAACCUAUGUUCACCUCACAACUCGUGCGCGCCGCCUCCGGCAUAGUGGGGGUAGUAAGGGAAGAUAACGUAGGGCUGUCUGCAUAUCUGUAACAUGGCUAUAUUGUGUCAGAAAAACAUGAUCAUAGGACUACUUAAUUUUUUCUACAGUUUACGCAAAAAAUUGUUAUUGUCCACAUUUAUAAUUAGCCAAAAAUAUCCCAGAUUUCUUUGUGGAAAAACUAUAUUUUAACUCUUUCUUCAUCAUGUAAUUUUUAUAACACGAAAUUGAAUACUACUAGAAAAUACGUGAACCCAAGAUCUAAGAUGUGUUUUAGAGUCCAGGUCGUGGUGAAAUUCAUCACACUCCUGCUGUUGAUUGCUCGUGGAGACACAUGCUUGAUCGAUCGACACCUACAGGCGGACUACAGCGGUACUGCCUCGCUGCUCCACUCUACUCUAUGGAAUUUGAAUUAAUGGGCUAAGUUCGGGUCGUGUGCAGAUGCCUAUCAAGAUAGAUCGAUGGAUUGGGCUGCAAGGCGUUAUUGGCAAUACAGGAGUAAGAUAAAUCCACGCUACUGUUGCCCGGAGCUCAGCUCUGACCGCAUCCUCCCUGGGCCAACCAAUCCCACAUCUGCCUCUGCCGCGUACCUAUUUGGCUAAACAGCAAUCUCAGUUUGAACGACUGAUUGCCCAGAUAAUGAUGAGGAAUGAAUGUUCCCUCUGGGACAAUGCUUCAUAGUGACAACAUAAUAGAUCUGUGAACCCGCGUAUUGCUUCCUGGUUGUCUCUCAAGCCUAGCUAGCUGCUCCAACGUGCGUAACAUGCAUGAUCCAUCGCUUAAAAGAAAAUAAAAAUCUCCUAGUUGCUCUCAGCUAGCACCUCCGACUUACUACUCCAUCAUUCUGUAAUUUAUAGAGCUCCCUAUCAAUACAUGCCAGCCAAUAUUUAUCUGUCAAAAGUAAUGAAGAUUAGUACUUUUGGUCAAUAAUUUCUCCUAGGGGGGCUUGUGGCUUGAUCUGAUAAAGGCUAAAUAUCUACGAGGACAGUCCUUUGCCAUGUGCUCUCAGUCGAGGAGGUCCUUGUUUUGGAAGGGGUACCAAGACCCCGUUUUGGCUGGACUGCUGGGUGGGCCCGAGCCCCAUGCGUAUGUAGCUCCCGUCCCUGUUCAUGAUAUCUAACCAAUAUGGCUAUUCAUCGCUUAAACAUUGCUUCUGCUGAGCAGCGGUGACCGUAGGAAGGGUUACCGAGACCCUGUUUUGGCUGACUGCUGGGUGGGCCCGGGCCCCCUGCGUGUACAGCUACUUCCCUUGCUCGCAAUAUCUAACCAACCAUCUAUUUUGGUUGCCUUGGCAUUUCAGGAUGGGGGCAACACCUUGACUUUCCGGAGAUCGUUUGGUCCGGCCGAAUCCGGACAAUAUAUCACCGGGAUGGCUGAGCGGUAUCAGCUAAGAUAUGUAAAGGUUGAUGGCACUCGGCCGACGCGAUGGAGUCUUUCCCAUAAAGUGUCGGCUGGCUAUCCACAGUGCGACAUAGGCUCAACUGCAGCCACAUCUAUGGCUGCUCACGGAGUUCAUUUCUGGCGUUCUUCAUCUCUAUGCGAUUGCCAUCUAGCCGGCGAUGAGCUGUCAGCCGGUUUGCUUCAUGCCGAACACAAGGUGCUCGAUGGAAUUCCUACAAGGUAAAGAAAAUGUAGUGCUUUUCUUUGCAUAUGCAGCGAAGAUUGAGCUUCAUAGAUAGUUUAUAUUGUGGAUGAGCUCAUGAUACUCCAAUUUUUGCGACGAUUCCUUGUCGGAUGAGGAGUUUCACUAGGAAUAGUAGGCGGAAGAUCUCGCGUUGAUCAUGACAACGCACAAGAACAAGAGUCCGAAGCAUGGCGCGGUUUAAUUUACGACUGCGAGUAUUUAUGAAACGAAUGGAACAGGUGAACGAGCGAUUGAUGUGCAACUACUUUGGGCCAAAUCCUCACUAUCCAAAGAGUUAGUGAAUAGAGAACUUCUGCCGGCGACCUUCCAAGCAAAUCGCCGCACCCACAACUUCGGGUACUACCUAGCAGAUGGGAUCUAUCCAAGGGGGCAGUUAGCAAUUAUGCGGAGAUGGCAUUUUGGAUUUUGCAAUCCCAAUUUGCCAUUGUGUGAGGACCGGCUAGAUUUUGGAAUCAAGUGAUCCUUUGGUACAUCAUAACAACUCUCAUGAUGUGGCACAACAUGAUCAUUAAAAAUGAGCGUGGGCAAGAUUUGAUUUACACCUUGUAUGACCUCAUGGGAAUACCCGUGCGGCCGGCCAGAAGGAAAGGCCGGAUCAAACGCUUUCUUCAGGUGUACCAUGACAUUAGAGAUGCGGAUGCACAUAUAUGGAACACUUUCUUCAGGUGUACCAUGAGUCCAUGACAUUAGGAAUGCGGAUGGGCACUAUGAUCUUCAUAAAGAACUCAUAGAGGAGUGGUGGACAUGGCUAUCCUUGGUGCACCUUUAUCCUUGUUCAUCAAACCAUAGUUGCAUCUCUAUCCUUGUUGUAUUUGUCUGACAAACUUUGUUGUAUUGUGUGCUAAAAAGUUUGUUGUCGAGUUUAAUUUGAUGAACUAUGUUGUUGAUUUGAAGAACUAUGUAAUAUUUUGAUGAUGUGGAUUGAUAAAAUUAUUGUUGUGUUCGUUU